rnacentral:rRNA from 1 species
CCCUGCCAUUUGUACACACCGCCCGUCGCUCCUACCGAUUGGGUGUGCUGGUGAGAUGUCGGGAUUAGUGGCUGUGGGCGGUUCGCCGCCCUCUGCCGCUGAGAACUUCAUCAAACCCUCCCACCUAG